rnacentral:rRNA from 1 species
GAUGAACGCUGGCGGCGUGCCUAAUACAUGCAAGUCGAGCGAACAGAUGAGGAGCUUGCUCCUCUGACGUUAGCGGCGGACGGGUGAGUAACACGUGGAUAACCUACCUAUAAGACUGGGAUAACUACGGGAAACCGGAGCUAAUACCGGAUAAUAUAUUGAACCGCAUGGUUCAAUAGUGAAAGACGGUUUUGCUGUCACUUAUAGAUGGAUCCGCGCCGCAUUAGCUAGUUGGUAAGGUAACGGCUUACCAAGGCAACGAUGCGUAGCCGACCUGAGAGGGUGAUCGGCCACACUGGAACUGAGACACGGUCCAGACUCCUACGGGAGGCAGCAGUAGGGAAUCUUCCGCAAUGGGCGAAAGCCUGACGGAGCAACGCCGCGCGAGUGAUGAAGGUCUUCGGAUCGUAAAACUCUGUUAUUAGGGAAGAACAAAUGUGUAAGUAACUAUGCACGUCUUGACGGUACCUAAUCAGAAAGCCACGGCUAACUACGUG